UACGUAGGGGGCAAGCGUUGUCCGGAUUUAUUGGGCGUAAAGAGCGUGUAGGCGGUUUGGUAGGUCCGCUGUGAAAACUCGAGGCUCAACCUCGAGACGCCGGUGGAAACCAUCAGACUAGAGUCCGGAAGAGGAGAGUGGAAUUCCUGGUGUAGCGGUGAAAUGCGCAGAUAUCAGGAAGAACACCCGUGGCGAAGGCGGCUCUCUAGUACGGUACUGACGCUGAGACGCGAAAGCGUGGGAAGCGAACAGG
rnacentral:rRNA from 1 species